AAAAGAAAAUAUUUUUUCAGAGCUUAAAUUUCGCCAUGAUAAAUCCAGUUCGGAUAUUAUCUGAUGUUCAGCUGAAAAAGCUGAAAGAACAUAAAUACAGUUCGAGCUGCCAAUCCCUCCUAGAUCCAGCAAUGCAGAUAUUUUGGAACUGGAUAGUUGAGUUUGUCCCGCUAUGGGUAGCCCCAAACCUGAUUACAAUUGUUGGUUUGUUUGUAAACAUCUUCACCUCAUUAAUACUAAUUGCAUACUGUCCAACAGCUACUGAAGAUGCGCCCUGGUGGACAACAUCACUUUGUGCUGUAGGGUUGUUUGUUUAUCAAACACUAGAUGCCAUUGAUGGUAAACAGGCCCGCAGGACUUCUAGUUCAAAUCCCUUAGGAGAACUAUUUGAUCAUGGAUGUGAUAGUUUAAGUACUGUGUUUGUCAGUUUGGCGUCCUGUUGCGCUGUUCAGCUUGGUAGAUAUCCGGGCUGGAUGCUUUUCCAGUGCUUGUGUGCCUCAACUCUGUUCUACUGUGCACACUGGCAAACCUAUGUGUCAGGAACUCUUCAGUUCGGAAAGAUCGACGUAACAGAAGGACAAUUGGUUGUCGUCUGUGUUAUGCUUCUAUCCUCCUUCUCGUCAUUCUUUAAUCUUGACAUCUGGGCAACUAGUUUAGUUUUGAUAUCUCUGAACCAAGUAGUGACACUUUUUGGAGCAGGUUGCGGAUUAAUAUCAAUGAUAACUCCUGGUGGAACCAUUGAUAAAAUCCUGAAUGGUGGGGCUGGAAAGAGUGGUUCUACUGUUGCUGGCACCAGUGUUCUUUCCCCUGCAUCUCCUCUUCUAUUUGUUAUUCUUCCAGCCUGGGUUAUUGCGUACAGAUCAGACGAGGCUGUCUACCACGACCAACCGAUACUCUACACUCUAAUGUUUGGUCUUAUUGCUGCUAAAAUUACAAACAGACUUGUGGUUGCGCAUAUGUGCAAAAGUGAAAUUCAUCAUAGGGACCCUGCUCUAUUAUGUAUUCUAGGGACCCUGCUCUAUUGGCUCCUAUGAUGUUGAUGAUAAACCAGUAUUUUAGCACUGUAGUCCCAGAGAAAUGGCUGCUUUCCCUAGCCAUGGUAUGGGUAGUAGUAGACCUACUGAGAUAUUGUGGA
rnacentral:misc_RNA from 1 species